rnacentral:rRNA from 1 species
AUAUCAAUAAGCGGAGGAAAAGAAACCAACAGGGAUUGCCUCAGUAACGGCGAGUGAAGCGGCAACAGCUCAAAUUUGAAAUCUGGCCCUUCUGGGGUCCGAGUUGUAAUUUGUAGAAGAUGCUUCGGGUGUGGCUCCGGUCUAAGUUCCUUGGAACAGGACGUCAUAGAGGGUGAGAAUCCCGUAUGUGACUGGCAGCCUUCGCCCAUGUGAAGCUCUUUCGACGAGUCGAGUUGUUUGGGAAUGCAGCUCAAAAUGGGUGGUAAAUUUCAUCUAAAGCUAAAUAUUGUCCAGAGACCGAUAGCGCACAAGUAGAGUGAUCGAAAGAUGAAAAGCACUUUGGAAAGAGAGUUAAACAGUACGUGAAAUUGUUGAAAGGGAAGCGCUUGCAACCAGACUUGCGCGCGGCCGAUCAUCCGGGGUUCUCCCCGGUGCACUCGACCGCGCUCAGGCCAGCAUCGGUUUGGGCGGCUGGAUAAAGGCCCUGGGAAUGUGGCUUCCUUCGGGGAGUGUUAUAGCCCUGGGUGCAAUGCAGCCUGCCCGGACCGAGGACCGCGCUUCGGCUAGGAUGCUGGCGUAAUGGUUGUAAGCGA